AUAAAAUUUAUUUUCAUCUUCUCUCUAGCAAAUCCCUUUUUACCCUACGCUUGAGAGCUCCCUCUCUGGCUAAAGUUUGUCUCUUCGUUGCUACUCCUCUUUCUCAGCCAUUCCAUGGCUGUUGUAGCCAUCGGCUAGCCUCCUUCCGAGGUUAUCCAUUUCCCCAAACACCACCUAAUCACUCUUCUUAAUCCCAAUGUCCAAAAUAGUCCCACACAACUCAUCUCUCAGAUCUGAAGCUUCACACUUAGCCAGUCGAAAAUCAUGAUUUGCCACCUGAAAACUCCAUUGAUAGUUGAGAAACCUAGUAACCUAAAUCUCUAUGGUGGGAGUUCGUAGCAUGCUAAGAUGAUUCAGGAGAAUAAAACUCGAAGAUAGUUGGGAGGAAAAAGUGGAAGCACAAAAUGAGGAGGAAGAAGUGAUGGAUAUAAGGAGCCAACAAACAAUGUAUGCUAGUUUGUUGUAAUAACAAAAUUUCGCUAUUUUUCAAAAGUAUUGUUUCCCUUGCUUGUGAUAAUACUAGUGAUAAUGAUUUCUUGAAGUAUCAACUAGUUACUUU